GUUCCCCAUGACAUGACGAAGAGCUCUGUUCCUCUUUCACUUUGGUGCUCACCCACUUUGUUUAGGUCACAGUCAUGCAGUAUUCUGUGAUGUGGAGAAUUUUACUGUCAAGUGAGAGACAAAUGCUGAAUCUUUGCCUUAUUCUAACCAGGCCUUUUGCCAGCAAGGUCUCAAAGCCAAGAAAAUGUUGGAAAAAUAAGCUCUCAUCUCAAGUAUACUACUGUGAAAGGAAACAUUCGCUAGCCAGGAGUACAGCGUUUUUAAGCUCUUGGUCCUCCUCAAAGAAGUAUGAAUGGAAUAUCUUCACUGUUACCUGCCAAAGUCUUUUGGUGAUAGUGAGGCAGCCUGUGAUAGUUGUAAGCUUAAGUCCCUACCAAUUAAUGAAGCAGAAUGGUGUUAUAUGCCUGCAGAGACUUACGGUGGAACAGAGCCAGACAUUCUCUGCCAAACAACAAAACACUAGGGAAAGGCUGUUGUGCAUUAUCUCCAAAUUCAAGCUGACAGAUGCUGCUGUUACAUUACUUAUCUGAACACUCUGUAGUGCCUGCACUCAAAAAUGCUGCAUGAGUGUAGGUGAGGCACCCACUCCUGGGAAAGAACUGGAGCCAACCUGGCUGAGAAAUAAGCAUCUUAAUCCUGCCACUUUGGGGAAGCAAGUGCUAGGCCCCCAGGCACAAGGAAUCCCCUGGCAACAGUAUGGAAGUGCAGUGCAAGCUCAGCUGCUAUUAUCUGUGAGCAAUGAUAGCAAGUCUAUCUUCCUGGCUCAUGGAUACCUUGGAGUUGGCAAAGCUUUCACAUUCUCUCCAAAUGCAUACAUAAACAAAUGAAGAAGAAUCAGGAUGCACCACUGAAGGAGCUGUGGAAGGGAAGCGUGGAAGGAGGUAUGGAAGCAAGGUGUGAAGUCUGAAGGUUCUACUUACUGCCACAGAGCUUUUGCAUUUCAGUAGAUAUAGUGUGAAGUUGCUGGAAUGGACUCUCAGUACAUGUUGACACCAACUUGCUAAGCUGCAAAUGGAGGCCAUGCAGAGCCUUCCUCUCCGCUGCAUUUAACCCAUUUCCUGUCAGCUUUACUUGGGGAAAAGCUCAACAUGCCUGAGAAGUCUGGGGCGAGCGGCAAGGAAAUAAAGAAGUUACUAGUCUUCUGAUCUUUCCACAGGGAGGGAGAGUCACUGCUCUGCAAUGGCACUGGAACAGGUUACCCAGAGAGGUGGUGGAUGCCCCAUCCAUGGAGAGACUCAAGAUUUGGAUGGACAGGGCUUUGUGCACCUGAUCUAGCUGUAGAUAUCCCUGUUCAAUUCAAGGGAGUUGGACUGGAUGACAUUUAAGUCUCACCUCCAACUUAAACGAUUCUAUGGUUCUAUAACAGCAAAGAGUCAGGGAAAGGAUGAACCCUGUAGUCAGUGUAGGGGAUUUUCGUGGAGUCAUUGCAGAGAAGAUAUAUAAGUGGUAAUAGAGAUAUAAGAGCUAAUCAGUGCAAAAUGGGAGCUGGUAAAUAAUGUUCUCACCUGGAAAUGUUUCAUCCUCUGAUGAUCCAGAUUAAGAAAGAGGUUUGAGAAGGAAUCUGUAAAUCUCUAUGCUUUAGAGAAAGCCAUGCAUUACUUUGUAGUCAACAGACAGACCUAGAACUGUGUCUCCACAGGGGGCAGGGAAGACGUGUGG
ensembl:lncRNA